UACGGAGGGUGCGAGCGUUGUUCGGAAUUACUGGGCGUAAAGCGCGUGUAGGCGGAUUCAGAAGUCGGGUGUGAAAGCCCCGGGCUCAACCCGGGAAGUGCGCUCGAAACCAUGAGUCUUGAGGUCCGGAGGGGAUCGGGGAAUUCCUGGUGUAGAGGUGAAAUUCGUAGAUAUCAGGAGGAACACCGGUGGCGAAGGCGCCGAUCUGGACGGAUUCUGACGCUGAGACGCGAAAGCGUGGGGAGCAAACAGGAUUAGAUACCCCCGUA
rnacentral:rRNA from 1 species